rnacentral:rRNA from 2 species
UACGUAGGGGGCGAGCGUUAUCCGGAAUUAUUGGGCGUAAAGCGCGCGCAGGCGGUCAUUUAAGUCAGGUGUGAAAGGCUGCGGCUCAACCGCAGAGCGGCACCUGAAACUGGAUGACUUGAGUGCAGGAGAGGAGAGCGGAAUUCCCGGUGUAGCGGUGGAAUGCGUAGAGAUCGGGAGGAACACCAGUGGCGAAGGCGGCUCUCUGGCCUGUUUCUGACGCUGAGGCGCGAAAGCGUGGGGAGCAAAC